rfam:Triticum urartu cultivar G1812 contig128669, whole genome shotgun sequence.
GAAACAAGUGAUGAUACCAAGACAGGGACAUCAGAACCCUUCGGGGUUAUGACAGACUACGUCUAUAAUGGGAAUCUCUCUGAUGUUUU